rnacentral:rRNA from 1 species
GACGAACGCUGGCGGCGUGCUUAACACAUGCAAGUCGAACGGUAAGGCCCUUCGGGGUACACGAGUGGCGAACGGGUGAGUAACACGUGGGUGAUCUGCCCUGCACUUCGGGAUAAGCCUGGGAAACUGGGUCUAAUACCGGAUAGGACUCCGGACUGCAUGGUCUGGGGUGGAAAGCUUUUGCGGUGUGGGAUGGGCCCGCGGCCUAUCAGCUUGUUGGUGGGGUGAUGGCCUACCAAGGCGACGACGGGUAGCCGGCCUGAGAGGGUGACCGGCAACACUGGGACUGAGAUACGGCCCAGACUCCUACGGGAGGCAGCAGUGGGGAAUAUCGCACAAUGGGCGCAAGCCUGAUGCAGCGACGCCGCGUGAGGGAUGACGGCCUUCGGGUUGUAAACCUCUUUCAGCAUCGACGAAGCGAAAGUGACGGUAGGUGCAGAAGAAGGACCGGCCAACUACGUGCCAGCAGCCGCAGUAA